rnacentral:rRNA from 1 species
AUUGUACGCUGGCGGCAGGCUUAACACAUGCAAGUCGAGCGGGGAAGUAUAGCUUGCUAUACGACCUAGCGGCGGACGGGUGAGUAAUGCUUAGGAAUCUGCCUAUUAGUGGGGGACAACAUUCCGAAAGGAAUGCUAAUACCGCAUACGCCCUACGGGGGAAAGCAGGGGAUCUUCGGACCUUGCGCUAAUAGAUGAGCCUAAGUCAGAUUAGCUAGUUGGUGGGGUAAAGGCCUACCAAGGCGACGAUCUGUAGCGGGUCUGAGAGGAUGAUCCGCCACACUGGGACUGAGACACGGACCAGACUCCUACGGGAGGCAGCAGUGGGGAAUAUUGGACAAUGGGCGCAAGCCUGAUCCAGCCAUGCCGCGUGUGUGAAGAAGGCCUUUUGGUUGUAAAGCACUUUAAGCGAGGAGGAGGCUACUUGGAUUAAUACUCUAGGAUAGUGGACGUUACUCGCAGAAUAAGCACCGGCUAACUCUGUGCCAGCCGCCGCCGUAA